GAGAGGGGAGGCAGCGGCGGAUAAAUGCUAUUAGAGCAGCCGCCGCGGAGCCGUCCCCGACGCCACCUCCUUCUCCUUCGCCGCAGUUUCCUCCGCCGCUGUCGGGGGUGCGGAGCUGAGGGAACAGGGCGAGCGCGCCACGCACCACCCCGCCGGCUCGCCGCCCCCGCUCCGUUCUGCCCUCAGGGGUCGGCCGGGUGCCCCCUCCUCCGGCCCGGGCGGUGCCGCGAAUCACCUCAGGAGAGCCGGGAGGGGGCUCGGGGGCCGCGGCCUGCGUUCCCGGCGGGCGGUUGAGGGCAAAGGAGGCCCUCCCUUCUGACGAGGGGAGGGAGGGUCAGGAGCCCCCCACCGCCCAGCUGAGCCCGGGGCGUGCACCGGCGAGGGCCGGGCAGCCGGAGGGGCGGUUGUCUGGGGGAGGGGGCGCGGGGUGAUUCAGCGCCCGGCGAGGCGGAAGCGGCUGCAGGAGGAGGAGGAGGGGGAAGAGGCCAGUCUGCGCCUGGGCGCCCGGGGUGGCACGAGCCCGCGGCCCGAGUGCGAGGCGGAGGCGAGGAGGCCGCGGGGACUGGAGGCGAGGCCGGCCGGGCUCCCGCAGUCAUGGAGAACGCGCACACAAAGACGGUGGAGGAGGUGCUGGGCCACUUCGGCGUCAACGAGAGCACGGGGCUGAGCCUGGAGCAGGUCAAGAAGCUCAAGGAGAAAUGGGGUUCCAACGAGUUACCGGCUGAAGAAGGAAAAACCUUGCUGGAACUUGUGAUUGAGCAGUUUGAAGACUUACUAGUUAGAAUUUUAUUGCUGGCAGCUUGUAUAUCUUUUGUUUUGGCUUGGUUUGAAGAAGGUGAAGAAACAAUAACAGCCUUUGUAGAACCCUUUGUAAUUUUACUUAUAUUAGUAGCCAAUGCAAUUGUGGGUGUGUGGCAGGAAAGAAAUGCUGAGAAUGCAAUCGAAGCCCUUAAGGAAUAUGAGCCUGAAAUGGGCAAAGUAUACCGACAGGACAGAAAGAGUGUCCAGCGGAUUAAAGCUAAAGACAUAGUUCCUGGUGAUAUUGUAGAAAUUGCUGUUGGUGACAAAGUUCCUGCUGAUAUAAGAUUAACUUCCAUCAAAUCUACUACUCUAAGAGUUGACCAGUCUAUUCUCACAGGCGAGUCUGUGUCGGUCAUCAAGCACACGGACCCCGUCCCGGACCCGCGGGCCGUCAACCAAGAUAAGAAGAACAUGCUCUUUUCUGGUACAAACAUUGCUGCUGGCAAAGCCAUGGGAGUGGUGGUGGCAACUGGAGUGAACACAGAAAUUGGCAAGAUCCGGGAUGAAAUGGUGGCAACAGAGCAGGAGAGAACCCCGCUCCAGCAGAAACUAGAUGAGUUUGGGGAACAGCUUUCCAAAGUCAUCUCCCUGAUUUGCAUUGCUGUCUGGAUCAUAAACAUUGGGCACUUCAACGACCCAGUUCAUGGAGGCUCCUGGAUCAGGGGUGCUAUUUACUACUUCAAAAUUGCGGUGGCUCUGGCUGUGGCAGCCAUUCCUGAAGGUCUGCCUGCUGUCAUCACCACCUGCCUGGCUCUUGGAACUCGCAGAAUGGCAAAGAAAAAUGCCAUUGUUCGAAGCCUCCCUUCUGUAGAAACCCUUGGUUGUACUUCUGUUAUCUGCUCGGACAAGACUGGUACGCUGACAACGAACCAGAUGUCUGUGUGCAGGAUGUUCAUUCUGGACAAAGUUGAAGGUGAUAGCUGUUCCCUUAAUGAGUUUACCAUUACUGGAUCAACUUAUGCACCUAUUGGAGAAGUGCAUAAAGACGAUAAGCCGGUUAAGUGUCAUCAGUAUGACGGUCUUGUGGAACUGGCAACAAUUUGUGCUCUUUGUAACGAUUCUGCCUUGGAUUACAAUGAGGCAAAGGGUGUGUAUGAAAAAGUUGGAGAAGCUACAGAGACUGCUCUCACUUGCCUAGUGGAGAAGAUGAAUGUAUUUGAUACCGAAUUGAAGGGUCUCUCUAAAAUAGAGCGAGCAAAUGCCUGCAACUCGGUCAUCAAGCAGUUGAUGAAAAAGGAAUUUACUCUGGAGUUUUCACGUGAUAGGAAAUCGAUGUCAGUUUAUUGUACACCAAACAAACCAAGCCGGACAUCGAUGAGCAAAAUGUUUGUGAAGGGUGCUCCCGAAGGUGUCAUCGACAGGUGCACCCACAUUCGAGUUGGAAGUACGAAAGUUCCUAUGACCCCGGGAGUCAAACAGAAGAUCAUGUCUGUCAUUCGGGAAUGGGGCAGUGGCAGCGACACACUGCGGUGCCUGGCUCUGGCCACUCAUGACAACCCACUGAGAAGAGAAGAAAUGAACCUUGAGGACUCUGCCAACUUUAUUAAAUACGAGACCAAUCUGACUUUCGUUGGCUGUGUGGGCAUGCUGGACCCUCCAAGAAUUGAAGUGGCCUCUUCUGUGAAGCUGUGCCGGCAAGCAGGCAUCCGGGUCAUCAUGAUCACGGGGGACAACAAGGGCACUGCAGUGGCCAUCUGUCGGCGCAUUGGCAUCUUCGGGCAGGACGAGGAUGUGACUUCAAAGGCUUUUACGGGUCGGGAGUUUGAUGAGCUCAAUCCUUCAGCCCAGAGAGAUGCCUGUUUGAAUGCUCGCUGUUUUGCUCGAGUUGAACCUUCCCACAAGUCAAAAAUUGUAGAAUUUCUUCAGUCUUUUGAUGAGAUUACAGCUAUGACUGGGGACGGCGUGAAUGAUGCUCCCGCCCUGAAGAAAUCUGAGAUCGGCAUUGCCAUGGGCUCUGGCACGGCAGUGGCUAAAACGGCCUCAGAGAUGGUGCUGGCCGACGACAACUUUUCCACCAUCGUGGCUGCGGUGGAGGAGGGGCGCGCCAUCUACAACAACAUGAAGCAGUUCAUCCGCUAUCUCAUCUCCUCGAAUGUGGGGGAAGUGGUCUGUAUCUUCCUGACAGCAGCCCUUGGCUUUCCUGAGGCUUUAAUUCCUGUCCAGCUGCUCUGGGUCAAUCUGGUGACAGACGGCCUGCCUGCCACUGCCCUGGGGUUCAACCCUCCCGACCUGGACAUCAUGAACAAACCACCCCGGAACCCGAAGGAACCCCUGAUCAGUGGAUGGCUCUUUUUCCGUUACCUGGCCAUUGGCUGUUACGUUGGCGCAGCUACCGUGGGUGCCGCCGCGUGGUGGUUCAUUGCUGCCGACGGAGGGCCAAGGGUGUCCUUCUACCAGCUGAGCCACUUCCUACAGUGUAAAGAUGACAACCCGGACUUUGAAGGAGUGGAUUGUGCAAUCUUUGAGUCCCCAUACCCGAUGACAAUGGCGCUGUCUGUUCUAGUAACCAUAGAGAUGUGUAACGCCCUCAACAGCUUGUCCGAAAACCAGUCCCUGCUGAGGAUGCCCCCCUGGGAGAACAUCUGGCUCGUGGGCUCCAUCUGCCUGUCCAUGUCGCUCCACUUCCUCAUCCUCUACGUGGAACCUUUGCCACUUAUUUUCCAGAUCACACCGCUGAAUCUGACCCAGUGGCUGAUGGUGCUGAAAAUCUCCUUGCCUGUGAUUCUGAUGGACGAGACACUCAAGUUUGUGGCCCGCAACUACCUGGAACCUGGUAAAGAGUGUGUGCAGCCUGCCACCACGUCCUGCUCGCUCUCGGCAUGCACCGACGGGAUUUCCUGGCCGUUUGUGCUGCUCAUAAUGCCCCUGGUGAUCUGGGUCUAUAGCACAGACACUAACUUUAGUGAUAUGUUCUGGUCUUGACUGACAGUUUUACAUAAAGAAGAUGUUUAACUUAAUCAAUUAAUUUUUUUAUUGUUUAAAGCAACUGUCUAUUUCUGCUGAAUUUUCACAUGAACAUAUUGGCUGGUGAAGGAAAUUUCAUACUCUAGAUUUUGUUUUGCUUUUCUGACUCCAGUGGGGCAAGAUUUUCCUUUUUUAUACACAUAAUUAAAGUGUCCAUUGACAUGUACAGAGAACUAACACUAUUUUAUGCAAAUAUUUUUUUGUAGAUGAAAAAGCAUGUACAGUGUUCUGUUUAAUACUCAUCCUUGUAUAAAACAAACAGUUGAGCCAGCGGACAUUGUCAGCAAGUUAAUUGGCAGCAGAUUUUAGGAAAUGAAUGUGUGUGGGUUUUGGUUUUUUUUUUUUGUUUUUUUUUGUUUUUUUCUAAAACUAAAUAGCAUGUAUUGUGUCUUUUGCAUGAUCAUCUGGAUUUAAUCUGAGAUCACAGUCUAAUUUUUAUUCAUAAGCCAAUUUUUCUGCACUGAGCAGAGUACUGCUACCUCAGUCAGUAUUUUUUGGUUUGCCACUUCCCUCACUCCCCCGGCCCCCGUUCACUCCCACCCCCACUCCUGGCCCCGCUCGGCUGCUUCUCCCCUAGGUUCCGAUGGUUCUGUUUACAUCAGUCUUAACAAGAGGUAUGCCUGUUCUCGCUUGUGCAGAAAACAUUGUUCCAGAUUCAAUCGACUGGGUUCGAGUCCCCCCACGUAGUUUUUAAGGUUAUUUAUUUAAAUGUCUAAUGUAUUUUAUUGUAACAGACAUUGUUUUGCCAACAUUGCCUAUUUCAGUGGCACUUUACAAUCUAGUUUAAAAAGGAAAAUAAAACAUUUUAAAUGGACAGAAAAAUAACUGUCUUGUUUUUAAGUGGCUUAGCUUGAACUAUAACAAAUUGUGUCCAAUUAAGUUCUUAGCUCAGAACUUGAGUUUUAUUGUGCCCGAGGGGAAGGAGGAUGGUGUUCUGCUGCAUAGGUAGCUGUAGGAAUGAACACAUAGGCACCUGUUGUCACCCAUGAUACUUUUUUGCAAGUUGCUGCUGGCCUGUUUUAGCCUGGUGUAGAGAACAUAAGGGGGAGUGCGUGUGUAUAUGUGUGUGUGUGUAUGUGUUUUUGUAAAAAUCUGUAAAUAGCACAUGACCAAAUGAACAUAUUGUAUAGAACUAUUUUUAUUUGAAUGUGGCACUAACCAACACCAUGGUUACUAUGAUAUGUUGCGCAUGUUUGAGAUCAGUCUUACCAACCGUGUGUAAGUCAUUAACUGUCCUAACUAUGGUGUUUUCCUCCAAUGCCUUCCAACAUCCAUCAACUAACCAAUACUGGAGUAACCGCUUCCUAAACCAUUUUGCAGAAAUAUAAGGGUGUUCGGUUGCGUGCAUGUGCGUUUUUAGCAACACAUCUACCAGCCCUCUGCAUGAUUGAUGUUGGGGGAAAAAGAAAAAUAGAAAAAGUCCCCAACUCAUUGUGUGUUAUGUGGAGGAAACGUAUUACCAACGGGGUUUAGCUUUUAAAUCAAAAUAGUAAUUACAAAUGUACAAUUUAGCUUAAUGAAUCAGAAAGCCUCUCCAGAGAACUUUGGUUUCUUUGCUGCAAGAAGAAUGAGGUUCUGAAACCUUAUCUGAGAACUUAGAAGCCAUCAGCCAAGUCUCCAUGUUUCUCUGUGCAAAAUGUCAUAGUUUAUAUAAAUGUACAAUACUCAGUUGUAAUGCAUGCCUUCGGUUGUAAGUAGCCAGAUUUCUCUGCGGCAUCAUUUAAACCUGCUACUUUUUAAUUGGCCCUGUACAGUUUGCUUAUUUAUAAAUCUACUGAAAACACUACAGGUGUUAAAAGGUUAGAAUGUAGGCCUCUAGUUCAUAACUUGUUACUUUUUUUUGGGUGUGCAAACAGCUCUUUUGCACUGUAUUAAAUGUAACUUAUUUAAUGAAAUCAGAAACCGUAGACAGAUGUUGGUGCAAUACGACUCUUGUGAUGCGUUUAUCUUACUAAAAUGCUAACCGUCAAUUUAUCACAAAGCAUGUUUGACUUAGACUGUAAAUAGAGAUCAACUGUCUGUUUCUGUGCUGGAAACAAGCAUUGCACAGACAUGGUUUCGGGUAAAUAAAUCUAUUCUAUGAUAAGUUCA